GAUGAACGCUAGCGGCAGGCCUAACACAUGCAAGUCGAGGGGCAGCACAGGUAGCAAUACUGGGUGGCGACCGGCGGAUGGGUGCGUAACGCGUAUGCAACCUACCAUUGAUUGGGGCAUAGCCCGAAGAAAUUCGGAUUAAUACUCCAUAAUAUUCAUCAAAGGCAUCUUUUAUGAAUUAAAGCUUUUGCGAUCAAUGAUGGGCAUGCGUGACAUUAGUUAGUUGGUGAGGUAACGGCUCACCAAAACGAUGAUGUCUAGGGGUUCUGAGAGGAUUAUCCCCCACACUGGUACUGAGACACGGACCAGACUCCUACGGGAGGCAGCAGUGAGGAAUAUUGGUCAAUGGACGCAAGUCUGAACCAGCCAUGCCGCGUGCAGGAUGACGGCCCUAUGGGUUGUAAACUGCUUUUCCACGGGAAGAACCCUCCGACGUGUCGGAGACUGACGGUACCGUGGGAAUAAGCAUCGGCUAACUCCGUGCC
rnacentral:rRNA from 1 species